GUAGGUGGCAAGCGUUGUCCGGAUUUACUGGGCGUAAAGCGAACGCAGGCGGACCUUUAAGUAGGAAGUGAAAGGUUGGAGCUCAACUCUAACACUGCUCCCUAUACUGGAGGUCUUGAGUGCCGGAGAGGAAGACGGAACAAGUUGUGUAGCGGUGAAAUGCGUUGAUAUAACUUGGAACACCAAUGGCGAAAGCAGUCUUCUGGACGGAUACUGACGCUCAGGUUCGAAAGCCAAGGUAGCAAACAGGAUUAGAUACCCUGGUAGUCUUGGCCUUAAACGAUGUUCACUAGGUGUUGGGGGGUAACCCUCGGUGCCGCAGCUAACGCAUUAAGUGAACCGCCUGGGGACUACGGCCGCAAGGUUG
rnacentral:rRNA from 1 species